UUCGUGCGCGAUAACUGUUUUGCUUUUACGUACUGUAUUUUUUUUUAUUUAUUUAUAAAAUUUAAUUUAUUAAACAUAAAUAACUAGAAAAAUGGUGGACAGUGAUAUUGUUGUGGCGUCCAAGUCGGAAGGAUUCCAUCUUGGACAUUUGUUUUUGUCGAUUAUGAAGAAGAGUCCAGAUGAACUCAAUCAGAUAGACGCCGCCACAGGAGAGAAAGAGACGAACGCAUCAGUGCUAAGUAGGUCUGUUCGCUUGGCCAAAUGCCUGCGAAGACUGGGCCUACAGCCUGGGGAUGUCGUGGCCUUGAGCGGUCCGAAUCAUAUCAAUAUACACAUUCCAUACUAUGCCGCUAUGCUUAACGGAUUACCUUUAGUCGGCGCCGAUCGUACGUUUAAAUAUGAUGAAGUUUACGAGCUUUUUAAACGGACUGCGCCAAAAAUAGCUUUUUGUCAUUAUGAAAUGUCUGAAAUUUUUGAGAAAGUCGCGAAAGCACUAAAUUUAACUACAAAAAUUGUAACUUUUGACAAAGGCAAUUGCACAAUGGAGAAAUUUCUGGAUUCCUAUAAUGAAGAUGGAUCUUUAGACGGAUUUGCACCAGCCAGUUUCGACCUGGAAAAGGUAUACUUGUGGCUGAUUGGCACAGGUGGCACCACGGGAGGGUUUAAAAUAGCAGCCUUCAAACAUCGGCCCUGGGUGGAGAAGACUGUGCAGUACUACCAAAUGGUCAGACUGCUUCAGAUGAAGCUACAAAAGGCAGUAAGCGGCAAACAACCGAGCUGGGCGGAGAACCUCUCAUUAAACCUGUCUCCGAUACACUGGGUGUCCGGCUUCUUCAACCCGAUCGCCAUGGCUAUAACCGGACAGUGCAAACUGCAGACCUCAGCCGAACAAACUGCUGAGCAUGUCAUUGAUGUCAUUAAUGAAUAUAAGCCCACCUCCGUGCUGAUGGGGCCAUCUCUGAUGACGUCAAUACUCAACCACGAGAAGCCAUGUGACUUCAGUUGCUUCACUGUAAUAACUUUGACCGGGGGACAGGUGUACAAAGAUAUACUAGUGAGAUUGAAGCAACGUGUGAGAGAAGAAACAUUGAUAUUUGUGGCUUACGCGCAAACGGAGACUUUGUGCCACUGUCUGACCCCGCUACCAUUCGGCCCUCUCGGCAACUGCGGCCAACCUAUGGCUAACGUCCAGUUGAGGCUGGUAGACCCAGAAACAGGGAAGGACAUAACAGAACCGAACACUCCAGGCGAGCUGUGGACUAAGGGACCAAGUUUCACAGAAUACUACAACUCACCAGAAGAGACUGCGCAGGCGUUCACAGAAGACGGCUGGUACAAGACCGGGGACAUCCUGUAUAGAGACAACAAUAACUACUAUUUCUUUGUCGAGAGGCUCAAGAUGCUCAUCAAGUAUAGGAAUCAACAUGUAGGGUGAUGGCACCAGUAAUCGACAUGUACCCAGUGAUCGACAUCUAACCUAGUCUUAAGGAAAAAAUAAGAGUUAUAUUUUGGUUUCCCGUCAUGGCAACACUUAAUCAUAGACAACAGGACUCCCUCUGUCGUCACAAAACAGAACUUUGGGCUCGGCCAUUUGUUUUCAAAAUGGCGAGCUAAAUAUUACUGUCACCGUUUGAGUUCCUUAGCUAAUCCGAUUUUAUUAGCGAAAUCCAUAACAAGAACACGCGCACCUAUUUCAAGAACUAUUCAUACAGAUAAAAUAGCAGCCACAAAAAAAAACGAUGGAUGA
rnacentral:misc_RNA from 1 species